GUUCACUUGGGCAGCAUAUACUAAAAAUAGAACAAUACAGAGAAGAUUAGCAUGACUUCUAUACAAGGAUGACUUCAAAUUCGUGAAGCAUUCCAUGUUUUU